CAAAUUUUUAGAUAAAAGAAAAGAAUUUGAUAGUGUGAUUUAAACUGCAGAAAAUUGCUUCAUUUCUACAUAUCCACAUAUCAAGUUUCAUGUGGCUGAACUGAUUUUUGCAUUUCCAGUGUGUGUGUAUGAGAAAUUUUCAAUGUUUUCUGAUAACAUAUAUGAAAAAGAUAUAUUGAUAAAAAGUAUGUAAUGCCAAAAUAAUUCCCGUAAAAUAUGCAUUGCAAGACACAUAUCUAAUCAAUUUUGAGUUGUGUUUUUAUUAUUAUAUAGUAUGUUUAUUUUCUAAAUUUUUAUAAUGAUAUUAUUUAACGACAUUCCAUGUUUAUAACUUAUUUCAGAUUUUUAUAAACUAUAUUCUUAUUACCUAAUCUGUAAUCUUUAUAUUUACCUUAGAUUAACAUCGA
rnacentral:lncRNA from 1 species